rnacentral:rRNA from 1 species
UACGAAGGGGGCUAGCGUUGUUCGGAAUUACUGGGCGUAAAGCGCACGCAGGCGGAUUGAUAAGUCGGGGGUGAAAUCCCGGGGCUCAACCUCGGAAUUGCCUUCGAUACUGUUAGUCUUGAGUCCGGGAGAGGUGAGUGGAAUUCCUAGUGUAGAGGUGAAAUUCGUAGAUAUUAGGAAGAACACCAGUGGCGAAGGCGGCUCUCUGGGACGGUACUGACGCUGAGGUGCGAAAGCGUGGGGAGCAAACAGG